rnacentral:rRNA from 1 species
UACGUAGGAGGCGAGCGUUGUCCGGAGUUACUGGGCGUAAAGGGUGCGCAGGCGGCCGGUUGCGGUUUGCGGGGAAAGCGCUGGGCUUACCUCAGCGAGGGCCGUGAAGACGGAUCGUCUUGAGGGGCGGAGAGGGACGUGGAAUUCCGGGUGGAGCGGUGAAAUGCGUAGAGAUCGGGAGGAACACCAGAGGCGAAGGCGGCGACCUGGACAGGUACUGACACUCAACUACGAAAGCGUGGGGAGCAAACAGG